ACAUAUACAACCACCAAACUAGGUAAGAUAGAUGAAGCAAAGUGCAGGCCAACAGGAACCAGAUGUAGAUCUCUCCUAAGAGACAUAGCCAGAAUACAGCAAAUACAUAGGCGAAUGCCAUCAUUAAACCACUGAGCUGAGAACAGGACCCCCUUGAAGGAAUCUUAGAAAGGACUGAAAGAGCUUGAAGGGGCUCGAGACCCCAUAUGAACAACAAUGCCAACCAACCAGAGCUUCCAGGGACUAAACCACUACCGAAAGACUAUACAUGGACUGACCCUGGGCUCCAACUGCAUAGGUAGCAAUAAAGGGCCUAGUAAGAGCACCAGUGGAAGGGGAAGCCCUUGGUCCUGCCAAGACUUAACCCCCAGUGAACGUGAUUGUUGGGGGGAGGGCGGUAAUGGGGGGAGGAUGGGGAGGGGAACACCCAUAGAGAAGGGGAGGGGGAGGGGUUAGGGAGAUGUUGGUCCGGAAACUGGGAAGGGGAAUAACAAUCAAAAUGUAAAUAAGAAAUACUCAGGUUAAUAAAGAUGAAAAAAAAA
rnacentral:lncRNA from 1 species